rnacentral:rRNA from 1 species
UCCAAGCGGGAAGCGCGCCUCAAGAUGAGAUCUCCCGGGGUACAAGCCCCCGGAAGGAACCAUGUACACUACGUGGUUGAUAGGUCAGGUGUGUAAGUACAGCAAUGUAUUGAGCUAACUGAUACUAAUGAUCCGUGCGGCUUGACCAUAUAACCUCA